UACGGAAGGCAGCAGUGGGGAAUAUUGCACAAUGGGCGAAAGCCUGAUGCAGCUAUGCCGCGUGCAUGAAGAAGGCCUUAGGGUUGUAAAGUACUUUCAUCGGGGAGGAAAAACAAAACUAAUAAUUUUAUUUCUUGACGUUACCCGAAAAAGAAGCACCGGCUAACUCCGUGCCAGCAGCCGCGGUAAUACGGAGGGUGCUAGCGUUAAUCAGAAUUACUGGGCGUAAAGAGCACGUAGGUGGUUUUUUUAAGUCAGAUGUGAAAUCCCUGGGCUUAACCUGGAACUGCAUUUUGAAACUGAAAUACUAGAGUAUCGUAGAGGGAGGUAGAAUUCUAGGUGUAGCGGUGAAAUGCGUAGAUAUCUGGAGGAAUACCUGUGGCGAAAGCGGCCUCCUAAACGAAUACUGACACUGAGGUGCGAAAGCGUGGGGAGCAAACAGGGAUUAGAUACC
rnacentral:rRNA from 1 species